rnacentral:rRNA from 1 species
UCUGAUGUGAAAGCCCACGGCUUAACCGUGGAGGGUCAUUGGAAACUGGAGGACUUGAGUACAGAAGAGGAGAGUGGAAUUCCACGUGUAGCGGUGAAAUGCGUAAGAUGUGGAGGAACACCAGUGGCGAAGGCGACUCUCUGGUCUGUAACUGACGCUGAGGAGCGAAAGCGUGAGGAGCGAACAGGAUUAGAUACCCUGGUAGUCCACGCCGUAAACGAUGAGUGCUAGUGUUAGGGGGUUUCCGCCCCUUAGUGCUGAAGUUAACGCAUUAAGCACUCCGCCUGGGGAGUACGGCCGCAAGGCUGAAACUCAAAAGAAUUGACGGGGGGCCCGCACAAGCGGUGGAGCAUGUGGUUUAAUUCGAAGCAACGCGAAGAACCUUACCAGGUCUUGACAUCCUCUGACACUCCUAGAGAUAGGAUUUUCCCUUCGGGGACAGAGUGACAGGUGGUGCAUGGUUGUCGUCAGCCUCGUGUCGUGAGAUGUUGGGUUAAGUCCCGCAACGAGCGCAACCCUUGAUCUUAGUUGCCAGCAUUCAGUUGGGCACUCUAGGAUGACUGCCGGUGACAAACCGGAGGAAGGUGGGGAUGACGUCAAAUCAUCAUGCCCCUUAUGACCUGGGCUACACAACGUGCUACAAUGGAUGGUACAAAGGGAAGCUAAACCGCGAGGUCAAGCAAAUCCCAUAAACCAUUCUCAGUUCGGAUUGUAGCUGCAACUCGCCUACAUGAAGCCGGAAUCGCUAAGUAAUCGCGGAUCAGCAU